AACCGCUUGACGACCUUUUCUAAUUUCCUACUUUGCCAAUAGAAAAACAGCGUCACGAAAACGGAAAUAAAUAUUCCCAGGGCACAAAACCAGCGACAGCACCCGAUUUCAAACCCAAAAGCCCAGCUGCUUUUCCAACGUACCAGUCUGAAAAUCCCCGUCUUCACUUAGACCUAUUUCCAAAUGUGUAAAAUUGUUGAAAAGACUUUACUUUACAGCUGUUGAGAAGAAGGCAGGUUCGUAUCGGACCCAGCUUUUACCUUCUUGUAGUUCCUCUACCAGAGGUGCAUCCCAGUAGAAAGAGUUGGAAGACAUGCAGUCCCAGCAGAUGUCACUUGGGAGGUUUGAAAACGCCAUAACCUCCAAAACCACGCCCUCCCCCAAUUUUUUUGAUAUAGAAGAUUGAAGGUGUGUCAAUCCUAUGUAAGAUGCUACAUAAACACAAACAGCUCCGUCCCAAAGAGACAGACGAUCUAGGUAAAAAUCCAGAGCUAUUCCAGGGAGCACAAUUGCAACCAUUUCUCUAUUCCCAAAAUCUGGUCCAUUUUGAUCAGACUCGUUAACAUAUCAAAACAAGUUUUCUCAGUAUAAGACUUCCUUUAAAGGGCACUUAAACCUGCUCCAGCAUUGACUGAAUGAGAAAUAGUUGAGUAAGUUCCUUGAAUCAGGUGAUUUGUCUGUGGCGUUGGCAAAAAAAAAAAUCGAACUCUGUAAAAUAUUGAACAGAUUUAUUCUGUGCCAAAUAUGGGUGACCGUGGCCCAUGACACAGCCCUCAGGAGAUCCCGAGGACACGUGCUCCAGGUGGCUGGUGCACAGCUUCAUUUUAUACCUUUUUCGGAGAUCCGAGACGUCAAUCAAACACAUUUAAAAUGAACAGUGGCUUAAUCCAGAAAGCUGGGACAACUCAAAGCAGAAGGAGUGUGCAGGAAGGUGGGCUUCCAGGUUAUAGAAACUGCUCCCAGCGCCCUCUGCCUCUCUCUGAGUCCAGCUUCCCCAUCUCCUAGUCCUGAGGACAGCUUCUUCCUC
rnacentral:lncRNA from 1 species